AUUGAACGCUGGCGGCAUGCUUUACACAUGCAAGUCGAACGGCAGCGCGGGCUUCGGCCUGGCGGCGAGUGGCGAAUGGGUGAGUAAUACAUCGGAACGUGCCCAGUAGUGGGGGAUAGCUCGGCGAAAGCCGGAUUAAUACCGCAUACGACCUGAGGGUGAAAGCGGGGGAUCUUCGGACCUCGCGCUAUUGGAGCGUCCGAUGGCAGAUUAGCUAGUUGGUGGGGUAAAGGCCUACCAAGGCGACGAUCUGUAGCUGGUCUGAGAGGACGACCAGCCACACUGGGACUGAGACACGGCCCAGACUCCUACGGGAGGCAGCAGUGGGGAAUUUUGGACAAUGGGCGAAAGCCUGAUCCAGCAAUGCCGCGUGUGUGAUGAAGGCCUUCGGGUUGUAAAGCACUUUUGGCGGGAACGAAAAGGACUGUGCCAAUACCACGGUUCGAUGACGGUACCCGCAGAAUAAGCACCGGCUAACUACGUG
rnacentral:rRNA from 1 species